AUUGAACGCUGGCGGCAUGCCUAACACAUGCAAGUCGAACGGCAGCACAAUAAAGAUUUCGGUCUUUAUGGGUGGCGAGUGGCGGACGGGUGAGUAACGCGUAGGAAUCUGUCCUGGAGAGUGGGAUAACCCGAGGAAACUCGGGCUAAUACUGCAUGACAUUGAGAGAUCAAAAGCAGGGGACCGAAAGGCCUUGCGCUCUGGGGUGAGCCUACGUCGGAUUAGCUAGUUGGUGGGGUAAAGGCCUACCAAGGCGACGAUCCGUAGCUGGUCGGAGAGGAUGACCAGCCACACUGGGACUGAGACACGGCCCAGACUCCUACGGGAGGCAGCAGUGGGGAAUCUUGGACAAUGGGGGAAACCCUGAUCCAGCGAUGCCGCGUGUGUGAAGAAGGCCUUCGGGUUGUAAAGCACUUUAGGUGGGGAAGAAAGGUAGCGAGUGAAUAACUUUCUGCUGUGACGGUACCCACAGAAUAAGCACCGGCUAACUCUGUGCCAGCAGCCGCAGUAA
rnacentral:rRNA from 1 species